UACAUAGGUCUCGAGCGUUGUUCGGAUUCAUUGGGCUUAAAGGGUGCGUAGGUGGCGCUGUAAGUCGGGUGUGAAAUCCUGGGGCUUAACCCCGGAACUGCAUUCGAUACUGCAGUGCUUGAGGACUGGAGAGGAGACUGGAAUUCAUGGUGUAGCGGUGAAAUGCGCAGAUAUCAGGAGGAACACCGGUGGCGAAGGCGGGUCUCUGGGCAGUAACUUACGCUGAGGAGCGAAAGCGUGGGGAGCAAACAGG
rnacentral:rRNA from 1 species